AUUGAACGCUGGCGGCAUGCCUUACACAUGCAAGUCGAACGGCAGCACGGGAGCUUGCUCCUGGUGGCGAGUGGCGAACGGGUGAGUAACACAUCGGAACGUACCCUGAAGUGGGGGGAUAACGUAGCGAAAGUUACGCUAAUACCGCAUAUUCUGUGAGCAGGAAAGAGGGGGAUCGCAAGACCUCUUGCUUUAGGAGCGGCCGAUGUCGGAUUAGCUAGUUGGUGAGGUAAAGGCUCACCAAGGCGACGAUCCGUAGCGGGUCUGAGAGGAUGAUCCGCCACACUGGGACUGAGACACGGCCCAGACUCCUACGGGAGGCAGCAGUGGGGAAUUUUGGACAAUGGGCGCAAGCCUGAUCCAGCCAUGCCGCGUGAGUGAAGAAGGCC
rnacentral:rRNA from 1 species